ensembl:misc_RNA RNaseP_nuc Nuclear RNase P
AAAAUAAUAAUUCCAUCGGUGAGGCUCUGAGCUGAGUGCACCGUGCCACUUCCCUCCCUUGUCCCUUAGAAAGGUCUGAGACUAGGGCCAGUAAGUGGCCCUAACAGGGCUCUCCCUGGGUUUUGGGGAGGUGAAUUCCCAAAGAGCGGGGUUAGACUGGGCAGGAGAUGCUGUGGACCCACCCCACUCCCUUAGAGUUCUUAAUACUGAUUUAAGAAAAAGAUUUUGGAAUUACUAAUUGUAUAAAUAAUUUAACCAUUUU